GUGUAUUUUCAGUUGCUCGAUUACAUGAUAUUGUCAAUCACCAAAUGGAUUUCAUCUUCCAAGGGCAAUCCAUUCAGGACAUAACUAUUGGGCAAAGCCAAGAUCCUAAAGAGGUCAAGAGGCAGAGAGAUAGGGAGUGGUAUGCAAAAACUAAAAGAUGAGAUUUCAGAGCGCAAAUUUUUGAAAAUGGCCUGCUGCCACGGAGGCUUGUGGGGAGAAUACCUUUGGGAAACUCUAUAUGAUUGGUUUUAUUUUAAUUUUUCAAUCUUGAUUAUGAUCUCAAAACAUCGCAGAGAAAUUUGACGUUUCAGAGUGGCCUGGUCACCAUGCAAACUCUGAGUUCUUUGGUAGCCCACGAUGGAUACUAACAGGUUUUAAAAGUGGAACUCAGCAUUUGCAAAUGUGGAUUAACAUGCCCUAGAGAUGCAAAUGGCUGAUGCUUUUGACCGCACUAAUGCCAGCAUCAAUCCCAUUGAAGAACCUCCAACGAAGAAGCUAAAAUCUGAUGGUGGAUCUAACCGCGCUCCAAGAUGAAGCAUGUGUUUGGCUGUAUGACAGAGGGAAGACAAUGAGAGCGUUCAGAGGUCUUCACCUUUACUUCCUUGCUCAAGGAUGAUCUAGGUAGAUUAGACAUCCAGGUCUGAAAUUAAUAAUAAGUAGUGGCAUGCACCCUUGCUCCUCACUAAUGAAAUUUUAAAUUUCAUAAGGGACUGCUGUGUAUAAAUAAAUGUUAAAUUUGUGUUGUCAUCUUUUUAGUGCGUAGAUUGCAAGUUUGUGCAGUACACCAGAGUAAGUAUAA